rnacentral:rRNA from 1 species
UACGUAGGGUGCAGGCGUUAAUCGGAAUUACUGGGCGUAAAGCGUGCGCAGGCGGUUUCUUAAGUCAGAUGUGAAAGCCCCGGGCUUAACCUGGGAACUGCGUUUGAAACUGGGAGACUUGAGUGUGGCAGAGGGGGGUGGAAUUCCGACGUGUAGCAGUGAAAUGCGUAGAUAGUGAUGGAGGAACACCGAUGGCGAAGGCAGCCCCCUGGGUUAACACUGACGCUCAUGCACGAAAGCGUGGGGAGCAAACAGG